AGGUGUCUGGAGGAACGGUGCGUGAGCUGGUGGAGGGACUGAAGCAUGUUGGGAACUGCAAUGCUGUCAGUUUACUCCAGGCCGUGUGUAAGGAGCCUGAAGCUGUCCACACUACGCCUCAGCUCACAGGUCCAGUGCUCUGUAAGUCCAUUCAGGGUUUGACACUGGGCUCCCAUCAGGAGGAGAGUGGGAUAUGUGACAGCGGGGUGGAGACGUCUUUCUAGAGCCCCAGCCUCAGUCUCGCCGACUCCAAACACAAUCUCACAAACUGAGGCCUGACCCUGAAAACCAGCUUCUCCCUCCUCCUCACUACAGCAGCAGCUCCACUCA